AGUGAACGCUGGCGGUAGGCCUAACACAUGCAAGUCGAACGGCAGCACAGUAAGAGCUUGCUCUUACGGGUUGCGAGUGGCGGACGGGUGAGGAAUACAUCGGAAUCUACUUUUUCGUGGGGGAUAACGUAGGGAAACUUACGCUAAUACCGCAUACGACCUACGGGUGAAAGCAGGGGAUCUUCGGACCUUGCGCGAUUGAAUGAGCCGAUGUCGGAUUAGCUAGUUGGCGGGGUAAAGGCCCACCAAGGCGACGAUCCGUAGCUGGUCUGAGAGGAUGAUCAGCCACACUGGAACUGAGACACGGUCCAGACUCCUACGGGAGGCAGCAGUGGGGAAUAUUGGACAAUGGGCGCAAGCCUGAUCCAGCCAGACCGCGUGGGUGAAGAAGGCCUUCGGGUUGUAAAGCCCUUUUGUUGGGAAAGAAAAGCAGCAGGUUAAUACCCCGCUGUUCUGACGGUACCCAAAGAAUAAGCACCGGCUAACUUCGUG
rnacentral:rRNA from 1 species